AGUGGAGUUGGUGGGGAGGUUUAGGAAUUAUGUUUGAUUUUUUUAGGAAUUCUAAGGAUUUUUCAACAAAUUUUGUGGGAUUUUAGAGUGCACUCAGCGUGUGUUUUUAAAGGUACUUUUUUUUGUUUUUUCUUUAAAGGUGGUAUUAUGUCAUCCUUCAUUUAGACUCAAUUGUUCCAAAGCUUCUUCAACAAGGAAUUCCACUUAUCUAUCCUCUCUUUUGAUGAAAACUUCCUCCACUAAAAAAAAGAGGUACUUUUAUUUAUUUAUUAUUGUAGACCAACGUGUCUUAACAUAGCUUGAAUGAGUCAUCAGAACCAGUGCUUUAACUCUAACACCUGCAGUCCACCACCGCUUCUAUCUCCCUUCUCUCCAUAGCUUCGAUUUUACAUAUCCUAUAUAUUUUACAUCGUCUUCAGUCUUCCUCUUUUUUCUCUCUACAAGACGGUUUCAAGAACACGAGUCUAGCUUCUUUCCUACUACCAUCGCUCCUAAUACACGGCUAUAGAAAUUCUUGUCACCAAUUUUUAAAGAGUUCGUCAAAGCGGGACUGAAAAUAGACAAAGAAAAAGACAAUUUCCCAUCUAUGCAGGAGAAUUUCAGAUCUGAAGGAAAGGAUGUUGAUUCAUCUUCUUUCAUCUAUAGGGUUUAUGAGUCGAAGAGAUGCCCAUGAAUAUAGAUCGAAUUGCAAUAUCUAUAUGUUCAUCAAAAGACAGACUCUAUUCGAUCGCUCGUUGCUGGGUACGACCGUCUUCAACUUCUCCUUCCCCCUCUAUCUUGUGAAUUUAUUAUUCUUUUUAUUUACAACCUAAUUUAAUAUUAUUUUUUAUUUUUACUUUGUUUUCUGGGUGCCUGUGUUCACGACAUGUCGGACUCUGUCAUUUCAGUUUUGCUCGAUGGUAAGAAUCGCAAGUUCAUCUAAAUUGAAGUGCAGAGUGAACCGCUCAAGACUAAAGUCAAGUAGCUCGUCAAAAAUUCGUCAAGUUGAAUUUAUGUAUAUAUACUACUUUAAGUAGCGAGUGUGUUGUAUUAAGUAUUGUAAUGUACUUGUUUCCAACCCUACGUAAGUGGAAGUAUAAAUUUUGAUAUUCCCAUUUA